AAACAGAAAAAGCAACAAGCGAAAAGAGGGAUAAGCAAGAGACGACGACCACAACAUCUUUUUUCCCUCCUUUUUUUCCGACUGAGAAGGGGGACGGAGGAAAAGAAGAUGAAUAGAAUAGAGUGAGAAGAGGUA
ensembl:ncRNA T01H3.7 ncRNA